rnacentral:rRNA from 1 species
UACGGAGGAUCCAAGCGUUAUCCGGAUUUAUUGGGUUUAAAGGGUGCGUAGGUGGGUUAUUAAGUCAGUGGUGAAAGCCUGCAGCUUAACUGCAGAACUGCCAUUGAUACUGAUAGUCUUGAGUAUAGUUGAGGUGGGCGGAAUGUGUCAUGUAGCGGUGAAAUGCUUAGAUAUGACACAGAACACCGAUUGCGAAGGCAGCUCGCUAAACUACAACUGACACUGAGGCACGAAGGCGUGGGGAGCAAACAGG